CCUACGGGUGGCAGCAGUGGGGGAUAUUGCACAAUGGGGGAAACCCUGAUGCAGCGACGCCGCGUGGGUGAAGAAGCGUUUCGGCGCGUAAAGCUCUGUCAGCAGGGAAGAAAAAGACGGUGCCUGACGAAGAAGCCCCGGCUAACUACGACCCAGCAGCCGCGGUAAUACGUAGGGGGCAAGCGUUAUCCGGAUUUACGGGGUGUAAAGGGGGCGCAGACGGCGAAGCAAGCCUGGAGUGAAAGCCCGGGGCUCAACCCCGGGACUGCUCUGGAAACUGGGUGGCUUGAGUGCAGGAGAGGCAAGCGGAAUUCCUGGUGUAGCGGUGAAAUGCGUAGAUAUAAGGAGGAACACCAGUGGCGAAGGCGGCUUGCUGGACUGUAACUGACGUUGAGGCCCGAAAGCGUGGGGAGCAAACAGGAUUAGAUACCCGGGUAGUC
rnacentral:rRNA from 1 species